rnacentral:rRNA from 1 species
UACGGAGGGUGCGAGCGUUGUUCGGAAUCACUGGGCGUAAAGGGCGUGUAGGCGGUCCGCUAAGUCUGAUGUGAAAGCCCGGGGCUCACCCCCGGAAGGGCAUUGGAAACUGGCGGACUCGAGUCCCGGAGAGGAAGGUGGAAUUCCUGGUGUAGCGGUGAAAUGCGUAGAUAUCAGGAGGAAUACCGGUGGCGAAGGCGGCCUUCCGGACGGUGACUGACGCUGAGACGCGAAAGCGUGGGGAGCAAACAGG